AUUUUUACGACCGAAAUUAAAUAAUAAUAAUGUUAUUAUGUUGAUUAACUUGAACAAAGAAAUAUUAUUUCCCUUGCACAUAACUAAAAUUGUACAACACUAGGAAACUUCUCAUUCACUGAAGGGUUGAUACUAUGGAUACACACUAGUGUCCCAAAAAGGAACUCUUUUACACUAUAAUAAUGAAUCAACUCAACUCUUUGUUUACUUGUUGCUCAGAUCAUCCAACUAGGAGGCACACGUUCUGACGACACAGGAGGCAAUGCACGAACAUUGAUAUCAAGAGGAAGCAGGCGAUACUGGAUGUCAAGCUCCCUGAAAAUUUUAACCAUCUCUUCAAGCAAGAGGGCUCUCCUUGAAAACCUCUCCCCCAUAUCUUGGUGGUUCAUUCUAUGGAGUAACCAUACUGCGAUUCGCACACUAUUCAGGUCUUCCACAUCCCUGAAUAUGAUCAUGGGUGGAGGAUGCCAAUGCUCCUUUUUGUUCUCGACGUAACUAGUUAUCCGUUGCUUAAUGACUGCAAUCUUUUCAUCUGGGGUUGCUACGUGAACAAGGAACUCAACAGCAUCUCCCAUGUCAGGACUACGACGGUAGUUACUAAUGGCUUUGGUAGAAAGAACACCGUUGGCAAUUAUAACCUUCUGGUUAUCAUAUCUUCGGAAAACAGUAGUUAAAAUAUUAAUCUCUUCUACUACCAUCUGAAAUUUGUUGAAAACAAAUUAGGCAUAUCAUGUAUAAACAAGCAAGAAAUUCAAUGAUAGGGAAGGUACAAAAUUAUGGAAGCACAAUUCAUAUAUUUGUUAAUGUACCUGAACACCAUCAAUAUCGCAGCGAUCGCCCACAUCAAAAGGGUGAAUCACAAACAAGAAGAUAAUAGCUUCAAAGACUGUUUUGCAGGUGUUUCCAAACAUAAAUGCCACAAGGAGGAGUUGGGAGCUUAUAAAAACAAGAAAUUUGCUUGUAGCAAUUCCUAGUAUGAGAAGCCAAAUAAUAGCUAUAAGGAUCCCAACCAAAACGUUCACCAUUCGAUGCAGCUUGUUCACAGCCGUUUUUGUAUCAUUCAAUGUCAAAGCAAGUGCUCUCCGUUCUCUAAAAGCAUUAACCACCCAAUUUUUCAAACAUGACUUGCUAAUUUUCUUGCUUUCAGAUGCUCCUUCAAAAAGACCCAUAGUCUUUAAAGCCUCAUCUUCUUGCAUGAAACGCAUUAUAUCCUCCAGGUAGAUAUGCCUAGACCCUGGCUUUGCCACAUUCUGGAAAAUUUUCCUUGCCGCAGCUUUGGCUUCAUAUUCGCUUCUGAUCUUUGUAGCAGAGUCAUCAUCAUCUUGACUAGUAUCACGUAUCUGUUCAUCCAGUGUGGUUAGAGCACCAUAUCGAAUUAUGUUCAUCAGCCUCUUCAUAUUCCAAGCAGAAACAUUCUUAGGAUUCAAUUUGUGCAAAUGAUCAAUUGUUAUCCCAUCUUCUUCUUCAUUGGCCUUCUUAGAAAAAGCACGAGAAAGCCUAGGGGUGCCAAUUCGAGGGCUUUUCUGUAUCCUGCCACUUCCUAGUGCUUUUACACCCUGAGCCUGAGGUGAUGGAUAGGUAGUUGCCUUAAGGCUAGCAGGCAUAGUAGCACCUGCAUUCUGUAACGUCUGUAUCUCAGCUGCAAUUUUCUCUUCCUCUUCCUCAUUCUUUUUUAUUUCAAUCAAUGGAGGACCAGAAAGUGUUUCAAUCACAUAUUGAUUAAAUAAUGACUCCUGAAUCCGAUCAAAGUAAGUACUUACAUGAAAAGAAGAUGCCAGCACCUUGACCACAAGAGUCUUCACAAGCCAUAACAAUGUACCCACCAACAAACACACCAAAAUCUUGGUCACAUAUCUAAGAGUUCUACUCCUAGUUUCCCUUUGAACUUUCUUGUCAAACAAAUAAUGCCAAGCAAUCAAAACAAGGCCCAACCAUAAGCAAUUCUGCACAGCCUUCUUGAUCCCAUAGACAAAAUACAAAACCCGCUUCCGCAAAAGAAAAUUCCUCUCAACAAAGAACACAAUGAUCCUUAUAACCCACCCAGAAACUAAUCUGCCACAUAUUAACACCAAAACGAACACUUCCCAUUUCCACAAACUAAGUUUCCACACACUUUUAUUCCUCAAAUAUGGAAUAACAAGACUACAAACUAGAGCAGCAAUGAUUAAAAUCAAACUCACCCAUUGAAGAAGAAUCCAAAUAUCAAGUUUAUCUUUCUUGUACUCUUCAGGUAUAUCCUCCUCCAAUAAGGGGUCAUCCUCUUCUUCAUCAAUCACGCUACCUUUCCCUAUAAAUCCGGACUUCAAAUGGCCUGAUCUUCCCACCACUCUCCCCGAUUUUUCCGGAGGCUGUAGGGGUGGGUCCAUCAAUCUCGACUUUUUCCCCUCCUUCAACAAAUGCGAUUUCCUCUCAAACGACGAGCUAUUGGAAAACGUCCCGUCGUUUGUAGAACUACGCUUCAAGAUCUCCACAUCACCACCACCAGCACUUGCACUAUCAGUACUCUUCUUGCUCGGCGAAUCUUUAUAUUGGUGCCUCCUCCUCACCGACUCGCUAGACCCAAGCUGAUUUGGGCCGAAGGAGACGCGGUUCACUGUGGUUGGAGACUCUGAAACCGGCGCCAAGUUCCGGUGAACGACGACUGCAUCGUUUUGAAGUUCGGCCAUCUCCAAAUCCAUAUCCAAGCAAAACUCACCGGAAGCUUUUUGUUUGUGUAAAAACUGACCAAUUAGCUUCGAGGGUGGAUCCUCCGUGGACGAUGAUGCAGCUGCACUGCCACUAGCAGUAGCGUUAAUUUGAGAAAAAUCAAACCCAAAAUUUUCACUUCCAUUGUCUACUAGCAGUUUGUCUUUAUCUUUCCCAUUCCAAAAAUCAUAGCUCGAUUCUCUCCAAAUCUUCCCGGCGUUAGUGGGUUCGAUGUUUCUAGAGUUGGGAUCACCUUCCCCGUCCAUUUUGAGAACAACCUCUCUAUGUUCAGUGGAGUUAGCGCCCAUGGCGGUGUUCUUCUUUCCCCCUUUUUUUUUCCCCUUUCUUAGAGACAAUGGUUAGUGGUUAGCUGUGUAGAAGUGUAGAUAAUCGGUGAUGAAGAAGAGGAAAGCGUGUGGACAGUAAAUGGAGUUAACUUUGAUGGUGGGAAUGCUGACUUAUGGAGGUGGUGUUUGGACGCCGGGAAAAUGCUAAAGAAAUCUGGAUGUUGAUUUUCUGAGAAUUUCUUUACAGGAAAAUUUUCGUGGACGCGUGUACUGUGAGCGAGAUUAAAUAAAGGAGUAGUUUUUUUCUUUGGAACUUCGAAGCGAAGAGAGAAAUUGAUUUCGCAGAAGAAACACGAC
rnacentral:misc_RNA from 1 species